rnacentral:rRNA from 1 species
CGGCUAUCUGCAGUCGAGGGGCAGCACAGGUAGCAAUACUGGGUGGCGACCGGCAAACGGGUGCGGAACACGUACGUAACCUUCCUUUAAGUGGGAGAUAGCCCGAAGAAAUUCGGAUUAAUACCCCAUAAGAUUGUGGAGUGGCAUCACUCAGCAAUUAAAGAAAUUCGCUUAAAGAUGGGCGUGCGGCUGAUUAGGUAGUUGGUGAGGUAACGGCUCACCAAGCCAACGAUCAGUAACUGGCGUGAGAGCGCGACCAGUCACACGGGCACUGAGACACGGGCCCGACUCCUACGGGAGGCAGCAGUAAGGAAUAUUGGUCAAUGGACGGAAGUCUGAACCAGCCAUGCCGCGUGAAGGAUGAAGGUCCUCUGGAUUGUAAACUUCUUUUAUAUGGGAAGAAACCACUUUUUUCUAAAGGUGUUGACGGUACCAUAGGAAUAAGCACCGGCUAACUCCGUGCCAGCAGCCGCGGUAAUACGGAGGGUGCAAGCGUUAUCCGGAUUCACUGGGUUUAAAGGGUGCGUAGGCGGAUUAGUAAGUCCGUGGUGAAAUCUCCGAGCUUAACUCGGAAACUGCCGUGGAUACUAUUAAUCUUGAAUACUGUGGAGGUUAGCGGAAUAUGUCAUGUAGCGGUGAAAUGCAUAGAUAUGACAUAGAACACCAAUUGCGAAGGCAGCUGGCUACACAGAGAUUGACGCUGAGGCACGAAAGCGUGGGGAUCAAACAGGAUUAGAUACCCUGGUAGUCCACGCCCUAAACGAUGAUUACUCGACAUUUGCGAUAUACAGUAAGUGUCUGAGCGAAAGCAUUAAGUAAUCCACCUGGGAAGUACGACCGCAAGGUUGAA